rnacentral:rRNA from 1 species
UAACACGUANACAACCUGCCAUCGAGUGGGGGACAACAGUGGGAAACCGCUGCUAAUACCGCAUGUGGUUGCCGUUGGCAUCAACGGCAUACUAAAGGAUUUAUUCGCUCGAUGAUGGGUCUGCGGCCUAUCAGGUAGUUGGUGGGGUAACGGCCUACCAAGCCGACGACGGGUAGCUGGUCUGAGAGGAUGAUCAGCCGGACGGGGACUGAGACACGGCCCCGACUCCUCCGGGAGGCAGCAAUGAGGGAUAUUGCACAAUGGGCGAAAGCCUGAUGCAGCGACGCCGCGUGGGUAGGAAGUUCUUCGGAAUGUAAAGCCCUUUUAACCGGGACGAUACCAGACGGUACCGGUUGAAUAAGCUCCGGCUAACUACGUGCCAGCAGCCGCGGUAAUACGUAGGGAGCAAGCUGUUAUCCGGAUUUACUGGGCGUCAAGCGCGCGUAGGCGGACGCUUAAGUGUGGCCUGAAAGCCCUCGGCUCAACCGGGGAAAGUGGUCUGCAAACCUGGCGUCUUGAGGGGGAUAGAGGAGAGUGGAAUUCCUGGUGUACCGGGUAAAUGCGUAAAGAUCAGGAGGAACACCCGUGGCGAAGGCGGUCUCCUGGGUUCCGGCCUGGACGCCUUAGGCGCGAAAACGUGGGGAGCGAACGGGAUUACAUACCCCCGGUAGUUCACCCCGUAUACGAUUGUUACCAGGUUUUGUGUGUUGUCUACCCCACACUUUCCGCGCCUUACCCAUUAGGUACCCCGCCUGGGGAGUACGGCCGCAAGGUUGAAACUCAAAGGAAUUGACGGGGGCCCGCACAAGCGGUGGAGCAUGUGGAUUAAUACGUCACUAACCGUAGAACCUUACCCAGGCUUGACAUCCCGGGAAUCCCCUUGAAAGGGGGGAGUGCCGCGCCCAAAGCGGAGCCCGGAGACAGGUGUUGCAUGGCUGUCGUCAGCUCGUGUCGUGAGAUGUUGGGUUAAGUCCCGCAACGAGCGCAACCCUCAUCGUAUGUUGCCAGCGUUCGCAAAAAGUCGGGCACUCUUACGAAACUGCCCGGGUAACCGGGAGGAAGGUGGGGACGACGUCAAGUCAGCAUGGCCCUUACGCCUGGGGCUUCACACAUGCUACAAUGGCCGGUCCAAAGGGUCCCGAGACCGUGAGGUGGAGGCAAUCCCAAAAAGCCGGUCACAGUUCGGAUCGCAGGCUGCAACUCGCCUGCGUGAAGUCGGAAUCGCUAGUAACCGCCGGUCAGCUAAACGGCGGUGAAUACGUUCCCGGGCCUUGUACACACCGCCCGUCACGUCACCUGAGUCUGCGGCACCCGAAGCACGUGGCUUAACCCGCAAGGGAGAGAGCGUGCGAAGGUGUGGCCGGUAAGGGGGACGAAGUCGUACAAGGUAGCCGUAGGGGAACCUGCGGCUGGAUCACCUCCU